rnacentral:rRNA from 1 species
UACGUAGGGUCCGAGCGUUGUCCGGAGUUACUGGGCGUAAAGCGUGCGCAGGCGGCUUUGCAAGACAGAUGUGAAAUCCCCGGGCUCAACCUGGGAACUGCAUUUGUGACUGCAAGGCUAGAGUACGGUAGAGGGGGAUGGAAUUCCGCGUGUAGCAGUGAAAUGCGUAGAUAUGCGGAGGAACACCGAUGGCGAAGGCAAUCCCCUGGACCUGUACUGACGCUCAUGCACGAAAGCGUGGGGAGCAAACAGG